GAGUGCCCUGGGUCCUCAUCCUGGCCAUGCCACCGAAGAACCACGUGGCCUGGGUCUGUCAGCUGACAUCAGGGCCCUGGAUACACAGAGCCCCAAUCUCACAGAGGCUACAAAGACAUUCUGUCACACUGGCAGUCACAUGAUGUAACCUUUGACAUCCCGUCAUCUGAGACCAGAACCUAAAGUCUAAGUAUACUCCAAAUCUGUACAUGAGAGACUCAGAGCAAGCAAGGAAUGGUCUGCGGAGAGACUUGGAACUCCUGAUUCAUUCAUUCAGAAAUAUUUACCAAAUGCUCCAUAUGGAACAGCCAUCGAUCUAUAAAUGGAGAUAAUCUCUGCUCUCACGGGGUUUACAUUCUAUUAAGGAGAUAAGCAGGUGGGAAGAGAUGGAAGUUAAAACCAUCCCAGUAUAUCACCACGCAGCCUGUCUGAUCUAUGCUACAGCCCACAUUUUAGGUCUUCUAUGGAAAAGCUUAUCUUAAAAAGAUAACUGACAACAGAACUCAAAAAGAAGAAAACCAACCAGUAAAAAUGGGCAAAAGAGUUAACAGGCCUGGAAAUAAGGUACACGAAUGGCAAGUAAGCACAUGAAAAGAUGUUCAGAAUCAUGUAGAUGUUAGAGAAAUGCCAAUUCAAACCACAGUGAGUUAUGGGUACUAUAAUAACGUCUAAAACGAAAAAGACCGACUCUCCCAAGUGUUGGCAAGGAUGUAAUGUAACCAGAACUCACCUGCAGCUGGUGGGAAUGUGAAAUGGUGCAACCAUUUUGGUGAGAAACAGUUUAAUAUAUUCUUAAAAAUUAAAACUCCAUGUACUACAUGACCUAGGUAUUUUUACUUAUAGGUAUUUACUGAAGAAAAAAAAUGAAGCAAACGUCCCUUCAGAGAUUUGUAUGCAACUAUGUAUAGCAGCUUUAUUUUUAGCAGUCCAAACUAGAAUCAACCUACAUAUCUAUCAACAGGUGAAUGGAUGAGAAAAAGAACUGUGUGGCCAUAGAUGGACUAUCACUCAGCACUGAACAGAGGCUAACCACCGGUGCCAGCAACUCCACCAAUGACUUCUAAAUGCACUAUGCUAAAUGAAAGGACCAAGAGAUUUCAUUUCUUUUUUUCCAACAAGAUUUACUAUACAAUAAAUACAUAUGCAUACAUAUUAAAAUACUUGUUGAAAAAUUAAGUAAGCAACAUGAUAUAUUGUACA